AUUGAACGCUGGCGGCAUGCCUUACACAUGCAAGUCGAACGGCAGCAUGAUCUAGCUUGCUAGAUUGAUGGCGAGUGGCGAACGGGUGAGUAAUACAUCGGAACGUGCCCUGUAGUGGGGGAUAACUAGUCGAAAGAUUAGCUAAUACCGCAUACGACCUGAGGGUGAAAGUGGGGGACCGCAAGGCCUCAUGCUAUAGGAGCGGCCGAUGUCUGAUUAGCUAGUUGGUGAGGUAAAGGCUCACCAAGGCGACGAUCAGUAGCUGGUCUGAGAGGACGAUCAGCCACACUGGGACUGAGACACGGCCCAGACUCCUACGGGAGGCGGCAGUGGGGAAUUUUGGACAAUGGGCGAAAGCCUGAUCCAGCAAUGCCGCGUGUGUGAAGAAGGCCUUCGGGUUGUAAAGCACUUUUGUCCGGAAAGAAAUGGCUCUGGUUAAUACCUGGGGUCGAUGACGGUACCGGAAGAAUAAGGACCGGCUAACUACGUG
rnacentral:rRNA from 1 species